GAUGAGGCUGCGAAGCGCUCCAUAAAUCGGUUAAAAUCCAUUCAAUUGUUAAUCACGUAUGGAUAACUUUGGCAAAUCUAAAGCUAAUACAUGAUAUAAUCUAUAUUUGGCUUCAAACCCAUUAUAGAUGCAUUUAUUAGUAUAAAACCAACCGUUUAUGGAAACAUAUACGAGUAUGAAAACGAAUAAAUAUGCAUAUCAGGUUUUACCUGAUGCUUUGAUCGAUUUUCUGCUCUAUCAACUUGUUGUUAGGGUAGUGGCCUAACAAGGUUAUUACGGAUAACGGGGAAUCAGGGUUCGAUUCCGGAGAGGGAGCCUGAGAAAUGGCUACCACAUCCAAGGAAGGCAGCAGGCGCGUAAAUUACCCAAAUCCGAAUUUCGGGAGGUAGUAACGAAAAAUACCAUGACAGGCAUAUUUGUCUGUACUUGGAAUGAGUUUAAUUUAACCAGUUAUUCGAGAAACUAUUGGAGGGCAAGUCUGGUGCCAGCAGCCGCGGUAAUUCCAGCUCCAAUAGUGUAUAAUAAAAUUGUUGCGGUUAAAAAGCUCGUAGUUAAAUGACAAAGGUAAUCUAUUAUAUAGUUAAAUUUAACUAUAAUAAUAUGAUUACCUUUUUAUUGCAAAUUAUAUCAAUGUUGCUUAAUUGCGAUUUGAUUGUCGUUUGCAUAAUGUGCCUUGAAUAAACUAGAGUGCUCAAUGCAAGCUUAUGCUAGCAUAAUAAAACAUGGAACGAUCUAUAUUCAUACCUACUUGGUUAGUUGGUAACACUCAAAUUAUUAUAUAAUUUAUUAUAACAUUACAUAAUAUUAAUAGUUGAUACUUACAUUAAAUGUAAAUACUUUUGAUGUGAAUCUCUAUUAAUAUUAUAGUAUAUGCUCUAUAUUAUUUUAUUAGUUUUUUGAGAACCGAGUAGGAUGCAGAUUAAAAGAAACAAUUGAGGGCGUUGGUACUGGGCAGCGAGAGGUGAAAUUCAUUGACCUGUCCAAGACUUACUAAAGCGAAGGCAUACGCCAAGAUUGUUUUCAUUAAUCAGGAGCGAUCGUUGAGGGAUCAAAAACGAUUAGACACCGUUGUAGUCUCAUACAGUAAACGAUGCCCACCUAAGGUUAGCCCAUUAAAACUACUUAUAGGUUGGCCUUCCAGAGAAAUCUCAAGUUUUUGGGUUCUGGGGGGAGUACGUGUCGCAAGGCUGAAACUUAAAAGAAUUGACGGAAGGACACCACCAGGGGUGGAGCCUGCGGCUUAAUUUGACUCAACACGGGGCAACUUACCAGGUCCGUACAUUAAAAGGAUUGUCAGAUUAAUAGCUCUUACAUAAUAUAAUGUUUGGUGGUGCAUGGCCGUUCUUAGUUGGUGGAGCAAUUUGUCUGGUUAAUUCCGAUAACGAACGAGACUGUGAUCUCUAUUUUAUGCCUCAUUUAUAAACUAAACAUUUAUAUAAACAUUUAAAAUGUUAAUGAGAUAUUAGAGAGACAACCGUGCGCACUCAAGCCGGAGGAGGCGCAGCAAUAACAGGUCUGUGAUGCCCUUAGAUGUUCUGGGCUGCACGCGCGCUACAAUGAAGUUGACAAAAAGUUACUGCUUUGAAAAAGGUGGUCAAUCAUAAAUCAACUUCAAAAUUGGGAUAGAAUACUGUAAUUGUGUUCUUAGAACGAGGAAUCCCUCGUAAGUACGGGUCACCAACCUGUGCUGAAUAUGUCUAUGUCCUUUGUACACACCGCCCGUCGCUACUACUGAUUUAAUCAUGGUUUCAAAGUAUAGAGAUUAAUAAAGAUUUUUUCUUUAUAUAGAACCAUACUAAGAAAUUGGU
rnacentral:rRNA from 1 species